GUUACGACUUUUGGGUUUAUUAGCUAAAACCCUAGACGGUGGCGCCUCGUAGCCUUUUUCUGGGGAAGCCGACUUAAAGUUCCCUCUCAAAUCAGAGACUGCUUUCCUGCAAUCCGCUACAUCAAACACGGUUCAAACACCUCUCUGUACAUGGAUUGUUCCUGGUAGGGUUUAAGAACACUCUGAACAAUGGAUUGCUCCGCACUAACAGCGUGGAUACCUUCGAAUCCUCUGAAUUCUCGCACAUCCUCGUUCUAUUUUCAAUCUCACUCCAACCCAUUUCGUCUUUGCUCGUACACAACAUUCCCAACCCCGACUGGUCGCGCUCAAUCUUCGUUCCGUUUCUCUAUUCGCUGCGGUCUCCGGGAGCUCCGAGAACGAAUCAACUCGGUCAAAAACACCCAGAAAAUCGCUCAAGCGACCAAGCUCGUCGCGGCUGCUAAAAUCCGUAGAGCCCAAGAAGCAGUCAUCAACGGUCGGCCCUUCUCCGAGAGACUGGUUGAAAUGCUGUAUUACAUUAACGAACAGCUCCAAUCAGAAGACGUAGACGUUCCGUUAACAAAUGUUAGGCCUGUAAAGAGAGUUGCUCUUGUAGUUGUGACAGGUGAUCGAGGCCUUUGUGGCAGUUACAACAAUGCAGUUAUAAAAAGGGCCGAGGCACGGAUCGUUGAAUUGAAGAAUCUUGGCUUAGAUUACACUGUAAUCAGUGUCGGCAAAAGGGGUAAUUCUUAUUUUCUUCGACGGCCUCAUAUUUCAGUAGAUAAGUUUAUCAAAGGAGGGAGUUUUCCCACGGUGAAAGAAGCUCAGGCGAUUGCCGAUGUUGUUUUUUCAUUAUUUGUGAGUGAAGAGGUUGAUAAGGUUGAACUUUUGUACACGAAAUUCUUGUCAUUGGUUAAGUCAGACCCAGUGAUUCGUACAUUGCUUCCAUUGUUGCCUAGAGGAGGGGUUUGUGAUGCAAAUGGGAAUUAUGUAGAUGCUGCGGAAGAUGAGAUUUUCAGAUUGACUACUAAAGGAGGGAAAUUGAUUGUUGAGAGGGAUAUUGUAAAGACAGAGACAGGGGAGUGUUCUCCUCUUCUAGAAUUUGAGCAAGACCCAGUUCAGAUUCUUGAUGCUUUGAUGCCUCUCUAUUUGAAUACUCAGAUUCUGAGGGCAUUGCAGGAGUCAUUGGCCAGUGAGCUUGCAGCAAGGUUGAAUGCCAUGAGUAAUGCAACUGAUAAUGCGGUGGAGUUGAAGAGGACCCUCUCGGUUGCUUACAAUCGGGAGCGACAAGCAAAAAUCACAGGCGAGAUAUUGGAGAUUGUGGCUGGAGCUGAGGCACUUAAGAUGGAUUAAUUUAUUUGGUUCUCUUGCUUCCACAUGGAUGAAUGCCAGAGUCCUUGUGCAAUGUCCUGAAUGAUGAUUGUGGAGUGGAUCCAUUUAAUUGCCAUGGUACAUAGGUACUGGACCUGAAAACUCACUGUUUCUUUGUCAGCUUAUUCUCUUGGGCAAUGCAAAUGAGUGGUCCAUGCAUUCGAGGAGUUUUUCUUCACCAAUGCAAACUAGUGGUCCAUGCAUUUGAGUUGUUCCCGUUCUUUAAAUGCAGCCUUCAUUGUCUUGCACGUGUGGAAAAUGAAAACUUGAUCAGGCAACAUGUUGAUGUUGAUACAGAAACAUGUGAUUGUGGACAUGUCAUAUUCUUCGGAUGACUGAAUCAGUACUGAAUCCAGCAAAGUGCUUCGCCUGUUGAUUGGUCUGACUCUCAUCCAGUUCAUUGUCCAAAUAAAAUCUCUCAGCUGUUUAUUCUGCAAGCAUGAAUGAUUUGAACUGUCUGCUUAUUCUUUUUAGGUCUAUUAAACUGGGAUCUGCCUAGUUUCAUGAUGCUUAUAGGCUCCAUCCAUGUAUUGCAAAGGAAACUGUUUAUUUAUUCUGCCCAAAAUCCAUUUAGUGGUUUUGUACAGUUUUGAGUAACAUUUCAAUCACCAUUCAUUACCAAUUCCAAAAUUCAGGAACAGAUUUGAGAGACCUCAUGUUGGGGAUUAAAAAAAGAAAGAAAAAGACCAAACCGUUGUGCUUAUAUUUUUUUCCCUUUCAUAGAAAUUAGGUGGGGUUGGUUGUUUCGAGAAGAAGUAACACCAUGAUGGUGUCUGAUGGUUGUGAUACAGGGCAGAGUGAGGAGAAAGUUCAGGAGGACUAGUGGGGAAACAGGGGAAUUCAAGCAGAAAAAGAAACAGAGCAGAGUGCAGGCAAUCAUGUGGUUCUCCCUGCAUCCAUGGGUUGGAGCAGUAAGCUGUUGGAAGGACAAAUCCCAUCAUGAGGGCAUUAGUACAUUUAAAGCUUGUUCAUGAAUCAUGAAACUUCACUGUUUGGACCCAAUCCCCACUCCCAAACACAAGCCAGUGGAACUUCCAGUUUCUGCUAGAGCAGGAAACCAGCCCAAGGCUGUGAUUUGCAGAAAAGGAGGAAAAGCAAUGGAAACUAAAAGCUGCAGGAGAUUAAAAGGCGAAGGAGUUGUGAUUGGUUGAAGAAGGAAAGUGUCUAGUAAAAAGCGACUAUCAAUUUGAGUAGCAAGAUUCUCUCCAUCUACCUUCUUUUCCACUUUUGAAGAGAUAAUUUUGUAUGUGAUAGGAAAAAGCCAUUUUCUUGUCUCAGCCAUUUCCUUCCUUUCUCUUCCUUUCUUUUCUCUCCAACCAAUCACAACUCACAGUAUAACUACAGUAUAUACUAUAUACUGUAAAGGGUGUAAAAAGAAGAAACUCCAGUCUCCAGACAAACCGCUUUUAUCAUGUUUUUAUUUUUAUUAUUUUGUUAUUAAAAAUGAAAUUGAUUUGUUGACA